CAGCCAUCUUAUUCCAUCGUUCAUCGUAUUGACAGUGGGUCACCUUCUGUCGGCCGGAAUCAUUUUCCGACUGGGAAUGCAGGAAGCAAUUUUCCAAAUGUCCCUUUCGUUCGUCAGCCUGACACUGUCCUCACUAAUAUUCCGACUGCGAAUGCAGGAAACGAUUCGCCAUUUUUCCCUUUCGUUCAUCCAACCGACUGAUUGUAGCCACCUUCUGCCGCGAAUAACAAUCCAACUGGGAAUG